GCGGCGAUCUCGGUCCAUUUGGUCGAGGGCAGAUGCAGAAACCUUUUGAAGUUGCAACCUAUGCACUGGAGGUUGGUGAGAUCAGCGACAUCAUUGAUACUGACAGUGGUGCUCACAUAAUUCUGAGAACCGGUUAACAUUGGUGGAGAGAGUAUCUAAAGAUUCAAGAGCAAUUGCAAGUUGUAACGUUUUUUUAAUUUUUAUUUUGGUGUCUCAAAGACUACCCAGGUUUGUUUUGAUUUUUAUUUUCACCACGUUUGUGAUAAAUUUCGAUUGUAUUAUCAGUCAGCUACAACUCCAGAUGCCUGAUGUUUAUAGACGUUUUA
rnacentral:misc_RNA from 1 species